GCAUAUCAAUAAGCGGAGGAAAAGAAACCCAACAGGGAUUGCCCUAGUAACGGCGAGUGAAGCGGCAACAGCUCAAAUUUGAAAUCUGGCCCUCUUUGGGGGUCCGAGUUGUAAUUUGCAGAGGGUGCUUUGGCAUUGGCGGCGGUCUAAGUUCCUUGGAACAGGACAUCGCAGAGGGUGAGAAUCCCGUACGUGGGCGCCUGCCUUUGCCGUGUAAAGCCCCUUCGACGAGUCGAGUUGUUUGGGAAUGCAGCUCUAAAUGGGAGGUAAAUUUCUUCUAAAGCUAAAUACCGGCCAGAGACCGAUAGCGCACAAGUAGAGUGAUCGAAAGAUGAAAAGUACUUUGGAAAGAGAGUCAAACAGCACGUGAAAUUGUUAAUAGGGAAGCGCUUGCAGCCAGACUUGCCCGCAGUUGCUCACCCAGGCUCCGGCCCGGGGCACUCUUCUGCGGGCAGGCCAGCAUCAGUUUGGGCGGUCGGAUAAAGGCCUCUGUCACGUAUCUCCCUCCGGGGUGACCUUAUAGGGGAGGCGUAAUGCGACCAGCCCGGACUGAGGUCCGCGCUUCUGCUAGGAUGCUGGCGUAAUGGCUGUAAGCGGCCCGUCUUGAAACACGGACCAAGGAGUCUAACAUCUAUGCGAGUGUUUGGGUGUCAAGCCCGGGCGCGUAAUGAAAGUGAACGGAGGUGGGAACCCCUCGGGGUGCACCAUCGACCGAUCCUGAUGUCUUCGGAUGGAUUUGAGUAAGAGCAUAGCUGUUGGGACCCGAAAGAUGGUGAACUAUGCUUGAAUAGGGUGAAGCCAGAGGAAACUCUGGUGGAGGCUCGCAGCGGUUCUGACGUGCAAAUCGAUCGUCAAAUUUGGGCAUAGGGGCGAAAGACUAAUCGAAUCAUCUAGUAGCUGGGUUCUGCCGAG
rnacentral:rRNA from 1 species